rnacentral:rRNA from 1 species
AUGGCUCUUCAGUAUCCUAUACUUUUCCCAUAUGGUGAUAAGAGUUACCAUCGUGGUAUUAAAUAUGUUGAUGUUAAUGAUUUCCCGGCCGUAACUGAUGCAAAUGUACAAGCUCAAGGACAUUUGGAUGGCGAGGAUGCCGACGAUGAUGUUGACUGUGAUUCCGAGCAUAUGGAUUCUUCACGUGGCCAGGUUACCAUGUCGGAUUAUUAUAAGUACUAUGCCCAUUAUCGCGAAGGCGAGGUUAAUCCUUAUACAAGUUGUGGCCGGCUAAGUCAACAGAUUGUUGUUAAUGCUUACUCCUGUAUAGAGGCUGAUCGUUUGGAAUAUCAUUUUCGUAAGCAAGACAAGGUUCGAUCUGAGACCUAUCAGGGCAUAUCUGACGCUAUGGGUGAAGGUAAUUCAACUGGCAAGAAUGUUGGUGUGCAGUUCAUACUGCAUGGUAGUUUUACGGGCGGUCCACGGUGGCAAGAGAUUGUCGAUGCUCUUGCUUCCGAACCUGGUCAAACUGCUGCUGAUCGGCCUGAUAUUACUACUCGUAUUUGUAUGUUGUGGAGUUUGAAAAAAGGGGGUUUGCCACAUACUCACACGUUGGUGUGGCUGAAGGCAGAUACCAAGGAUCCGUCUCCUUCUUUUAUAGAUGGCCUUAUUUCUGCAGAGCUGCCGGGCCCUUUGGUUGAUCCUUUGGGUUAUGCUCUUGUUGAUAAAUUUAUGGUACAUGGACCUUGUGGGGCAUAUAAUGCUAAGUGCGCUUGCAUGAAGAACAAUAGUUGUUCCAAGCGCUUUCCUAAGCCUCUAAGCGAUGAUACAAUGAUUGAUCAUGUUGGAUAUACAGUUUAUCGUCGACGUGACACUGGAUUGUAUGUCCUCAGGCAGAAAGACACGCUCCGUUUGGGAAAUCAAUGGGUUGUUCCAUACAACUUGAAUUUGUUGAAGAGGUUCGACGCUCAUAUAAAUGUGGAGUGGUGUAAUAAGACAAAAUUAUUGAAAUAUUUAUUCAAAUAUCUCACGAAGGGUCAUGAUGUAGUUCGCAUGCGUUUUCAUGCUGAAGACAUGCCUCCUGGUGUGUUCACUGUGCCAUGUCCUACCGGUAGAAAUGAAAUCGACGACUAUAUCAAAUGCAGGGACCUGUCUGCCUGUGAGGCCUUUUGGAGGUUGUUUGCGUAUAGUAUCCAUGGUAGUCAGCCUUCUGUCGAGCGUCUGGUUGUUCACUUACCUAACAUGAAUAGGGUCAUAUUUGCGGAGACUGAUAGUUUAGGAAAUGUUCUGGAGGAUUCUUCGUCAACUAAGACUAUGCUUACUGAGUGGUUUGCUACCAACCGGAAGCAUGUGUCUGCUAGGUCUUUAACAUACCUUGAUUUUCCGAGUGAGUGGGUUUGGAAUAAAAGUUCUAAAGUGUGGACGAAGCGGAAGCGCCCAGACAGCGACGAUCCCAUUAUCACAUAUACAGGCACACAUCCUCCCGUCGGACGUAUGCAAGAACUUGCAAAAUCACUUUAUCAUUACAUCACAGGCACCAAUCCUGCAGGAGGAUAUACUAGGAUGAUCUAA